rnacentral:rRNA from 1 species
UACGUAGGGUGCAAGCGUUUGUCCGGAAUUAUUGGGCGUAAAGAGCUCGUAGGCGGUUUGUCGCGUUGUUCGUGAAAACUCACAGCUCAACUGUGGGCGUGCGGGCGAUACGGGGCAGACUGGAGUACUGCAGGGGAGACUGGAAUUCCUGGUGUAGCGGUGGAAUGCGCAGAUAUCAGGAGGAAUACCGGUGGCGAAAGGCGGCCCCCCUGGGACCGGGUACUGACGCUGAGGCGCGAAAGCGUGGGUAGCAAACGGGG